rnacentral:snoRNA from 1 species
AUCUUCUGUGGACCAUAGGUAUGAUGACCAGGCAAUUCAAGCUGCUGUGUGAGAUGUACCUCCCUGGACCCUUGUUAUGACGUCCCAUACAGCACCCACAUGGUGUGAUA